GUUGUACUCUCUCCGUUCGGAAUUACUUGUCGCGAAAAUGGAUGUAUCUAGACGUAUUUCUAGAUACAUCCAUUUUCGCGACAAGUAAUUCUGAACGAAGGGAGUAUGUG
rnacentral:pre_miRNA from 1 species